rnacentral:rRNA from 1 species
GAUGAACGCUAGCGGCAGGCUUAACACAUGCAAGUCGAGGGGUAGAAGGAGCUUGCUCCAUGAGACCGGCGCACGGGUGCGUAACGCGUAUGCAACCUACCUUUAUCUGGGGGAUAGCCCGAAGAAAUUCGGAUUAACACCGCAUAAAAUCACAGUAUCGCAUGGUACAAUGAUCAAAUAUUUAUAGGAUGAAGAUGGGC